rnacentral:rRNA from 1 species
UGGGGAAUUUUGGACAAUGGGCGAAAGCCUGAUCCAGCAAUGCCGCGUGUGUGAAGAAGGCCUUCGGGUUGUAAAGCACUUUUGUCCGGAAAGAAAUCCUUGGCUCUAAUACAGUCGGGGGAUGACGGUACCGGAAGAAUAAGCACCGGCUAACUACGUGCCAGCAGCCGCGGUAAUACGUAGGGUGCAAGCGUUAAUCGGAAUUACUGGGCGUAAAGCGUGCGCAGGCGGUUUGCUAAGACCGAUGUGAAAUCCCCGGGCUCAACCUGGGAACUGCAUUGGUGACUGGCAGGCUAGAGUAUGGCAGAGGGGGGUAGAAUUCCACGUGUAGCAGUGAAAUGCGUAGAGAUGUGGAGGAAUACCGAUGGCGAAGGCAGCCCCCUGGGCCAAUACUGACGCUCAUGCACGAAAGCGUGGGGAGCAAACAGGAUUAGAUACCUGUGNGUCGCCAGCCGCUAAAACGAUGUCAACUAGUUGUUGGGGAUUCAUUUCCUUAGUAACGUAGCUAACGCGUGAAGUUGACCGCCUGGGGAGUACGGUCGCAAGAUUAAAACUCAAAUGAAUUGACGGGGUCAUAGCUGUUUCCU